GCCCUGGUGGUGGAAUUGGUAGACACGCAGGACUUAAAAUCCUGUGAUCAGCAAUGGUCGUGCGGGUUCAAGUCCCGCCCGGGGCA
rnacentral:tRNA from 3 species